rnacentral:rRNA from 1 species
GACGAACGCUGGCGGCGUGCUUAACACAUGCAAGUCGAACGGAAAGGCCCUGCUUUUGUGGUGUGCUCGAGUGGCGAACGGGUGAUUAACACGUGAGUAACCUGCCCUUGACUUUGGGUUAACUUCAGGAAACUGGGGCUAAUACCGGAUAGGAGCUCCUGCUUCAUGGUGGGGGUUGGAAAGUUUCGGCGGUUGGGGAUGGACUCUCGGCUUAUCAGCUUGUUGUUGGGGUAGUGGCUUACCAAGGCUUUGACGGGUAGCCGGCCUGAGAGGGUGACCGGCCACAUUGGGAGUGGGAUACGGCCCAAACUCCUACGGGAGGCAGCAGUGGGGAAUAUUGCACAAUGGGCGGAAGCCAGAUGCAGCAACGCCGCGUGCGGGAUGACGGCCUUCGGGUUGUAAACCGCGUUCGCCUGUGACGAAGCGUGAGUGACGGUAAUGGGUAAAGAAGCACCGGCUAACUACGUG